GCUGUGGUUUUGUAUUCACAGUCAUCAGAAAAAGAAUGACCUGAAUUACAACACCCAACUUUUCAGAUCUGAGAAUGGUUGACAUGCCAAGUGUCAUGAGGAAUCGACUUGUGCUCAGAAGUAGCCCAGAAAAGUAAAAGCAAAGUACUUUUGCAGAAGGAUGUGCUACCAAAUCAGAUCAAAUACAGAGUUUCACAUCAAAGCCAUCAGCGCUGUCAAAAGUUUCAGUUUCUUGGAGACCGAAUUGCAAAAGCUCCCCAACUAUGGACUAUCUCCCUACUGAGAAUUUCCGGCAUUGAAGGAUGUGCUCUCUUCUACUGAAACUCCAGCCACUGGAAUGCCAUCUGCCCUGAGUCCCUCACCAGAGCCAUGCAGAAGCCAGCACCAUGCUCUUGAAUCUCCAAGACUAUGAGCUAAAUUAACCACUUUUCUUUACAAAUUACCCAGCCUGAGGCAGUUAGCCGAGUGAUGACAAAUGGACUGAUGUACCCUCUGUCUGAGUGACUGGAGAAUCUCAGCCUGAGCCCUGAAUCAUUCAUGUUCCUGGGGAAAAAAUCAACAGUU